rnacentral:rRNA from 1 species
UACGGAAGGCAGCAGUGGGGAAUUUUGGACAAUGGGCGAAAGCCUGAUCCAGCCAUGCCGCGUGCAGGAUGAAGGCCUUCGGGUUGUAAACUGCUUUUGUACGGAACGAAAAGCCUCUUUCUAAUAAAGAGGGGUCAUGACGGUACCGUAAGAAUAAGCACCGGCUAACUACGUGCCAGCAGCCGCGGUAAUACGUAGGGUGCAAGCGUUAAUCGGAAUUACUGGGCGUAAAGCGUGCGCAGGCGGUUUUUGUAAGACAGAGGUGAAAUCCCCGGGCUCAACCUGGGAACUGCCUUUGUGACUGCAAGGCUGGAGUGCGGCAGAGGGGGAUGGAAUUCCGCGUGUAGCAGUGAAAUGCGUAGAUAUGCGGAGGAACACCGAUGGGCGAAGGGCAAUCCCCUGGGGCCUGCACUGACGCUCAUGCACGAAAGCGUGGGGAGCAAACAGGAUUAGAUACC